AUCCUGAAUAGAGCUUGAUUGGGCCAGAUGAACGCAUCAGGUUGUGACCACCCAAUUGUCCUCUCUAAAUUUGUAUUCAUUGUUGGAUUUUAUUGAAUUUUUGGUGAUUAAAACCUUGUUAAGCCUCUUGGGCAGCGUAAUACUUAAUGGGCCAUGCAUCAUAUGUGAGGUUUAGUCCCAUACUGGAAACUAAAAAGAUGUUGUUGUUGCUGGUAUUUAUAUAUUCCUUUAUUCUCAAGCUAGUUGCUUGGAAGAAAAUGAGAGUUAUGCUCUCGUCCAUACACCCAAUUAAUUUUAUUUUAUUUUUAUUUUUUUGGUUUUAUUUUUAUCUUAAUCUUAUUUUAUUUUAUUUUUAUUUUUUCGGUUUUAUCUUUAUCCUAUUUUAUUUUAUUUUUAUUUUUUCAGUUUUAUCUUUAUUCUAAUUCUAAUUCUAAUUCGUAUCCCGUAUAAUUUUAGGCUUAUCUUGUUUUACACGGAAUUAACACGUUGAAACAAAAUUCUUGCCUUAGUUAUAUAUAUUGGAGAAAGUUGCGUGAGUUCAACCG
rnacentral:lncRNA from 1 species